GGGCAUAAAUUGAGAUUCUGAACAGAACUGAGGAUGCUUUAAAGGCAAAAUUCCAGUAUAAUUAAUAUUUUCAGUUUGGUCCUCCAAUUUGACAAAUUACGAUUUGACCCCUAAUAUUUUGAUAAAAUCACAUUUUGGACCUUGGGGCAUAAUUCAAGAUUCUGGACAAAGAUAAGGACGAAUUAUGGAUAAAUUUCAGUAUGGAUAUAUAUUUACAAUUCGGUCCUCAAAUUUUGGUAAAAUUACGUUUUGGUCCCUGUUUUGGAAAAUUGUCGUUUUAGUCCCUAAACCUAGGAGAUUAAGCCCGGUUUUAUUUUAUGCAUUGGGAUCUUUUGUUUGAUUUGUUUUUGAGUAUAUUUCAUAUAUUUAUUGUAG
rnacentral:lncRNA from 1 species